GGGGAGGUACCCAAGUGGCCAAAGGGGGCAGACUGUAAAUCUGCUGGUGCCAACCUUCGGAGGUUCGAAUCCUCCCCUCCCCACCA
rnacentral:tRNA from 1 species